rnacentral:lncRNA from 1 species
UGCAAUCUUUGUAGCUAUAUAAAUAAACUAAAUUAGCCCGUGCGCAUACGCACGCACGGGUCUGCACACUAGUUACACUACAUGAGAUAAAGAGGCAGAAUGGUAUACAAAUGGUCAAAGGGCGGUCAAUUAAACAAGGAAAAUCUAUAGAUUUUGUAUCUUCCAGAAACAAGUGGCUCUGCACACAAUCAUGAAAAAUGAACAGAAGCUAGUGCAAGAAACAAAAAAGGAAGACGGUGAUUGAAAGAAGAAAACCUUACGGUGAAGUACUUUUGGGGGCGGUAAAAUUGAAUUCAUGAGGUAUAUAUAAAGCAUUGCAAAUCAACAAGGAAGGGAUACACACUACAGAGAGGAUUGGAAUUGAGAGAAGAGAACACGAGAGAGAGUUUGAAGAUCUUGAAUUAGGGAUUGAAGUUGGAGCAAAAAUCUGCACUCUAUUUUGGGUUAUCUCUUACUCCAAUUUCAUGAAUCCUAUUUCAAUUAUAGUGUUCUUGUUCAUGGAUAGCUAAAUCAUUUUCUAGGGUUUAGGUGGAUCUUGCAAGUUUAGAGACAUUGUAAUGUUUUAGUUUAUUAAUUUGAUUUUCAGUUUUUAUUUCAAUUAAGUUUGUUCUAUUGAUUUUAUCACAUGAUUAGGAAUGAUCAAACCUUUGCAUGUUAACAAUCAGUUAAUUGAUCAGCUAUCGUAUUGCAGUUAAUUGGUGGACCUAUAGGACAAUUGAGACUAGAAUUAUUGCAUGAUCAAACCUUAAUUUUAGUCUUCCAAUCAUUCAACCUUUUCGCGCUUUAUGCUUUUCUUGGUUUCAUCUCUUUGAAUGACCAAACAAAGUGUUAACUUAGGAGAAAGAAUAUUAAUCAUGAAUGACCAAACGGAUUAAUAGUUUUAGUAACAAAUAGGAAUUUGAUUAGAACUAGACAUAAAAGAAUCCAAACUUGCAACUGAAACCGCGACCCCCUAGACUUCUCUCUAUUGAUUUACAUCUCCGUGUUUUUUUUAUUCUUUGCCAUUACUUUCUUUAGUGACCGAAACCACUCAUCUACUUGUUCGUCUAAAUAAUAAAUAAUCUUAAUUAGUUUAGUACUUGUUAAUUAAUCCCUGUGGAUACGAUAAUCUUUUAUACUACUUCUGCGAUAGAGUACACUUGCUCUAAGUGUGUUUUUAGCUACUCUAAGUGUGUUUUUAGCGCAACAAGUUUUUGGCGCCGCUGCUGGGGAUUAGUUUAGCAAUAUUGAACGAAAAAGAUUUUUAUUGCUUUAGACAUUUACUGCUUUGAUUUUUUUUAUUUUUUUUUAUUUGUGCAUGCUCACCCUCUCUUAAGAGCCCAUCUGUAGUUGAUUUUAUUUGGUAGAAAAAUCAUGGCCGAGAGGAAAACUAUGAGAGAUUACAUUAUGGGCAAUCAAGAAAGAACCAUGCCUAAGAGGAAAACUAUGGGACAAUACAUCAUAGAAGCUAAAAUAGAAGCUCUUAGGAGGCAGUUUGAGACUUUUAGCCCUCCUUGUAAAAUUUGUGGCUUGGUGGGGCAUGAUAGUCAAGACUGUCUAAUAGGAAAUUCUUGGGAUGACUAUGAGAUUGUCCCUAAUGAGAACCAACAUGAUCCUCACUCUUCCAAUUGGAAAAUUGACUAUAUACCGCCCUGCAUGAAACAUUUGUGGCCAACACAUGAGAAAGAGCUUGAUAUCAAUGAGAGACUUACAACCUUAAACCAAAAUACUAUUGCUGAGUUGUCUCAUAGUCCUCCAUGCGUGCUGUCCACUCAAGUUGAGCCCAAGACAAAAGAAGAAUCUGAAGUUAUCACUCUCACUACUAACAUAGAGUUGAAUGAGGAGUUUGGACAUGAGGGACAUGUGUUCACAAAAAGAGAAGAAACUCUUCAUGAAGAGAGCCCUGAUGAGGUACAUAAACAUGACUGUGUGGUUCUAGAUAUGAAAAAAAGGUCGGAAGUCCAAAAUGUUUUGGGGACAAUUAUGUUGGCCAUUGGUGAUGUUGUAGUUGAGGUUCAAAAGGGAAAGGUAAAUUUAAGGUGUGGUAACGAAGAUGAUGUUUUGAAUGCUUUAAAUUCUACUGAAAAUUUCUCUCAUUUUAUUUAUUCCUAUCUUGGCAAUGCAGUUAUUACCAAUUAUUCUAGUGACUUAAGUAUGCAGGACCCCUUGGAAAAAAGUUCUAUUUUACAUGAUCCUUACAAAAUGGUUGAUGUAGUUGAACUGAAAAUUUCACUAUUAUUUGAAGUUCAUCCGCCACAAGGAAAAACAAAUAAUAAUGUGAACCACAUGAUUAAAAAGUUAAGAAGGGGCAAUGCCUUGAAGGUUAAAUUUUCCCUUGGAGAGCCUCCUGAUUGAUUCUUUGACUACCGUCAGGCUCAAGACGUUAAAUGAGCGCUUCACAGGAGGCAACCUGUGUUUACUAUUUGUUAUUUUAGUUUUUUUUUUUUUUUUCUAGUUGAGUUUUAUUAUGUUUGUGUGUUUAGUUUUGUUUUCAGGAGUCAAAAGUUCCUAUCAAAAGUGCUCCACUCUAUUAAGAAGGCUCACCUCCGAUUGGAUGCUCUCUCAGGGAAGUUCCUUUUACCCUUGCACACUUAUUUUAUUUUUUGUUGGUCUGUUUGACAGUUUUGCAUUGCGGGCCAUGCUUUGUGCUAGUGUGGGGGAGGGACUGUAUUUUGUCACUUGAGCUCUAUUUGUCUUGUUGAUGGCAUUAUUCUGGCUUGUUUUGUUUGAGUUAUGCUAAAAUAUUGAAAACUAGAUAUUUGACCUUUAAGGGACCCUAAGCAUAAUUCUUUGAAAAAAAUAAACACUUGUGGUUUACUGUGGGGUUGCCUUUAGGAAGCUGAAAGAUUAGCGUAAUAUUUCAUGUUAUACUAUCUUUCAAUUUGUGAGGUAACUUUGAAUCCUUCAUAAAGUGAUUACACAUGUAUUUUGGUAAUUUGAUGGUGAUUUGAGUUAACUUUGAAAAAAAUUGGACUGUUUAUGUUAAUUAAUGGUAAUUGGCUAUUUAAAAAAAAAAAAUUGGUUUUGAUUGGAUGAAUGAAUGAAUGAUGAAAAUCAUCAAAUGGCCGAGGUUUUUGGUUGAAUCAUAAACAAAUGCAUGGUGAUGAUAGAACUUUUUGAUGAUUGCAAAAGUCAAGGUACAUGUUUAUAGCUUUUCUAGAAUGUACAUGAAUUUGAAACUUGCACUUUGUGCAAAAACCAUUUCAUUCAUUGCUCCUCAAUAGCUUGUUUAACUUUGAAUCAUUUAGAACCAACCAAAAUGUGAGGCAGCUUUCCAUUUUUAUUUUACUAUAUGCAUGGAGACCGGCAAGUUGUGUUUUAACUCGGUCGCUUUAUGUUGAAUCCUGCAGUUUGUUUGAUGUUUGAAAGCAUAGAAAUGAUCAAGGCAAUUUUUUUCAAUUUUGAGCACAAAUACUUGACCAUAUACAGCCUACCAUGUGAGAAAGUGAGUAUUUGAUAACCCCUCUGAGCCUAAAUGACAGAAUUUGCUACAAUUCUGGACUGUUAAAUUCGCUAGGCGAGCCUAUUUAGCCUAAAGAAUCUGCACACUUUUCCAAAUCCAGUUCAAUCUUGAAUCAAUGCAAAUUCUGAAUUUUCUUUUGAAUUAUAAAACCAUGAACCUUCAUUGUUUACUCAAAUAUUGUCCCUUGUCUUAGGAUAGGUGAGCCUUUGUUUGAAAAUUUUGGUUUUGUUCAAGUUGUGGAGAUUGGGUAAGAUUUGUAAUUUAUUGACAAGUCAAGUAAGUUGGUGAUUCAAAGCUAUCUUGACAACAAAAAUGAAAAAAAAAAAAAAGAAAAUAUAGUAAGUUGUCAAGAAUAGUUCCUCAAUAUUUCAUAUUACCAUAGUGUUAUAAAGGGGAAUUGUAAAUAGUAGUACAUAUAGUAAGGAAUGCUCUCCUAUUCUAAGGCCUUUUUGAAACAUUUCCUAGAUAAAUGACAAUUUCUUGUAACCCGGCCUCAUUACAACCCUUAAAGACCUUAGUGAUCUAUGCUUGAUGCUUUCAAAUGAAUAUGCUUGGAUGUAUGCCUAACUUGAUCAGGAUGUUAGCACAUUGUCGGAUGUGAGUCCCACUUCACAUAUGAGCGUAAAUUUCACUUUUUACUUGUGAUUGUGAGGAUUGUGUGUUAGGUGUGAUUCAAACUUAGUUUUACUAUUGACUUGGAAUGAAUGAAAUGAUGGUUGUAUUUAGGAUUUGUUUCACUUUCAUGUUAUGAUCCUAGGAUAGUUGUAAAUGUGAGUCUUGCACAAUGCAAUCUAAAUUGAGUCAUGCAUGAUCAAAACUUUUCAAUCCAAAUGUUUGAUUUACUAAAACUUGUGAGUAUCCUUUUUGCAUUCAUUCUCAAAUUGGGCAAGCUUUUUGACACUUCAUGUGUAUUUUAUGGUAUUAUUUGUAAAUUUUGGGUCUCUUAUAAAGGUUGUCACUAUUUUGUGCUUGGAAAGUUAUCUUUUGAGCUAGGAGAUUUGCUUGAGGACAAGCAAAGCUUAAGUGUGGGGGAGUUGAUAAACCACUUAAUUAUAUGUUUUAUAUUAAUAUUUUGGGUAUAGUUUAUUUCAUUUUGUGUCAUUAUUACUUAGAUAGUUAUCUAUUUUCCCUUAUUUAUAUAUAUGAAAAAUUAGAAAAGAGAACUACAAAAAGAAAGAAAUAUGUUAUAUUAUUUAGAUUACAAUCCAUAUAUAUACUUAUAUGUCUAUGUGUACUAGUAUGUGAAUAUGUGCUUUCUUUUUCAAUCAAAACAACUACAUGGGCACAAUGUCACGUGAUUAUCUAACAUGAGUGGUUGACAACUUGGCAUAUUACACUACAUGAGAUAAAGAGGCAGAAUGGUAUACAAAUGGUCAAAGGGCGGUCAAUUAAACAAGGAAAACCUAUAGAUUUUGUAUCUUCCAGAAACAAGUGGCUCUGCACACAAUCAUGAAAAAUGAACAGAAGCUAGAGCAAGAAACAAAAAAGGAAGACGGUGAUUGAAAGAAGAAAACCUUACGGUGAAGUACUUUUGGGGGCGGUGAAAUUGAAUUCAUGAGGUCUAUAUAAAGCAUUGCAAAUCAACAAGGAAGGGAUACACACUGCAGAGAGGAUUGGAAUUGAGAGAAGAGAACACGAGAGAGAGUUUGAAGAUCUUGAAUUAGGGAUUGAAGUUGGAGCAAAAAUCUGCACUCUAUUUUGGGUUAUCUCUUACUCUAAUUUCAUGAAUCCUAUUUCAAUUAUAN